AUACGUAGGGGGCGAGCGUUGUCCGGAUUUAUUGGGUUUAAAGGGAGCGCAGGCGGAGAUGCAAGCGUGACGUCAAAUUUCGGGGCUCAACCCCGUCUCGCGUCGCGAACUGCGUCCCUUGGUUGCGGGAAGGGGAGGCGGAACUCGUGGUGUAGCGGUGUAAUGCAUAGAUAUCACGAAGAACUCCGAUCGCGAAGGCAGCCUUCCGGCCCGUCAACGACGCUCAUGCUCGAAGGUGCGGGUAUCAAACAGGAUUAGAUACCCUGGUAGUCCGCACAGUAAACGAUGGACACCCGCGGUUUGGCCUGUAUGGCUGAGCCGCCAAGCGAAAGCGUUAAGUGUCCCACCUGGGGAGUACGCCGGCAACGGUGAA
rnacentral:rRNA from 1 species